CUUUUUUCCGCCGGAUGGAGAGAAGAGUUGCCACCGAGAUCGGGUACCGGAGGGCAGGCCGCUUCUGUCGCGUAAAGAACGUAUGUGUGGUAACAAAAUGUGAAGAUGAAACUUUGAGUACCUGUUACAUACCUUUACAUUGAAAGGCCUGGUGUUCGUAGAUAUAUGCUCACCCUGGAAGACUUAUCACUAUUUAUUAUGUAUAUGAGCUCUUUGAAAGCCGAACACUGUUGUUUCCAUGUUCUGAUCAUUCAGUGAUUAUGAAGGCACAGUUCCUGCCUUUGAUUUGCUUACAGUCAAGUGGAGUAGACACAGGUCAUGGUGGCAGUAUAGCCACUUAAGUAUUCUGAAGAAGGUGGGGAAGCCAAAGCUUGUUAAUAACUUGCUCGAGAGUUAUAAAGUGAUACAGGUAAAGCUAAGAAAAGAAUAGAUUUUGAUAUCUUUUGUUUUAAUUGCCCAGUAUGAGGGAUUGUGGCUACAAUGGUCUGAUUUUUUUUUAAAAAUCUUUUUCUGUUUUGUUUUUUAACAGAUUUAUCAGCAGGUUGCAGGUGAACAUGGCCUUGAGGUAAAUCCUGCCCCUUGUUGAAAUUUAGUUUCAGCAGAUUGUUCUUGGCAUUUUAAGGAAUUAGAAUAUUUUACAAAAAAACAAAAAUUUUGUUUUGGUUCUUUUUUCUAGGCUUUUUUUUUUUUUUUUUUUGUAGAAGAUGGGAAACAUGUUUAAACAAAGAUUCUUUAUGCUGAAUAAUUGUGAUGCUUGAAGUUGGUCAUCUGCCUUGUUUAAAUUAAGUGGAUUUUAAAUGUUAAAGCUAAUUCUAGACCAUUUUUUCUUGAUCAAGUAAAAUUUUAUAAAAAUCUUAUAGGUGCCUAGUUUUUAUACAUUUUAUCCAUGUUGUAUUACAUAUGAAAUAAAGCCUAAUUAGAACCCUGAAU